GGUUGCGAUCAUACCAGCACUAAUGCACCGGAUCCUAUCAGAACUCCGAAGUUAAGCGUGCGUGGGCGAGAGUAGUACUAGGAUGGGUGACCCCCUGGGAAGUCCUCGUGUUGCAACCC
rnacentral:rRNA from 2 species